UUAAGAGAAAAGACCAUCCUGAACACACCCGAGCUUGUCUGAUCCUGGAAGCUAAGUGGGUCAGGCCUGGUGAGUACUUGGAUAGGAGAAAAGUAAAGUAUUUCCAUCAU
rnacentral:rRNA from 1 species